UACAGAGGGUGCGAGCGUUGUUCGGAAUUAUUGGGCGUAAAGGGCGCGUAGGCGGUGCGGUAAGUCACCUGUGAAAUCUCCUGGCUCAACUGGGAGCUUGCAGGCGAAACUGCCGUGCUGGAGUGUGGGAGAGGUGCGUGGAAUUCCCGGUGUAGCGGUGAAAUGCGUUGAGAUCGGAAGGAACGCCCGUGGCGAAAGCGAGGUCCUGGACGUUUUCUGACGCUGAGACGCGAAAGCCAGGGGAGCAAACGGG
rnacentral:rRNA from 1 species